GACAUGGGAUGUUCGUUUAUUUGGGCAAAUGUGUCUCGUUAGGGUCAUUCUGAAAAGAAGCCCAGUGUGCAGUCAUUAGCCCCUGGGGUAGCGUCACUACUAAGUGGUUGGGGAGAAGUCAGGGAAGAGGAAGAGGUGGCGUUCCCCAGCCUCACCUGUGGAGACCCCAGCGAAGCGGGGGCAGGGAGGGAUGAUGAACCCUCAUCCUUUACCUCCUUCUCCAACCCUCCACUAGCGCUGCUUUCCUGGUCAAACCUGCAUCUUCACCGGGUCAUGCCCCAAGGCCUCUGGGGGACUUCCACAGUGGUAAGGAGGGCUGCCCUUUUUUUUUUUUUUUUUUUUGGUUGUGGCUGAGAAUGCUGGAGAUGCUUAGUUCUCUCCCUCACAAGGUAGGCCACAAAUUCUUGGUGGUGCCCUCACAUCUGGGGUCUUCAGGCACCAGCCAUGCCUGCCGAGGAGUGCUGUCAGGACAGACCGUGUCCGUGCUAGGCCCAGGCACAGCCCAACCACUCCUCAUCCAACUCUCUCCCAGGUCUCUGGUCCCGAUGGGCAAGGAUGACCCCUCCAGUGGCUGGUACCCCACCAUCCCACUACCCCUCACAUGCUCUCACUCUCCAUCAGGUCCCCAAUCCUGGCU
rnacentral:sRNA from 1 species